UAGUAGUUCUUGCCUGAUGGAGA
rnacentral:piRNA from 1 species